rnacentral:rRNA from 1 species
GCUUAACGCGAAGAACCUUACCCAGGCUUGACAUCCCUGGAAGGUCUCCGAAAGGAGACUGUGCCUUCGGGAAUCAGGUGACAGGUGCUGCAUGGCCGUCGUCAGCUCGUGUCGUGAGAUGUUUGGUUAAGUCCAUUAACGAGCGCAACCCUUGUAAGUAGUUGAAUUUUUCUACUUAGACCGCCUCGGUAACGGGGAGGAAGGAGGGGAUGAUGUCAGGUCAGUAUUGCCCUUACCGCCUGGGGCUACAAACACGCUACAAUGGCCGGUACAAAGGGCAGCCAACCCGCGAGGGGAGCAAAUCCCAUCAAAACCGGUCCCAGUUCGGAUAGCAGGCUGAAAUUCGCCUGCUUGAAGUCGGAAUCGCUAGUAACGGUGAGUCAGCUAUAUUACCGUGAAUACGUUCCCGGGUC